CUUUUGGAGAAGAGCUACAAGUGGUGGACGGUGGCCACAGUGAAGAGUGGGGUAACUUAGACUAAACACUAUAGGAGCCAUCAGAAGAAAUUUUUCCAAACUGCAGCUUAUUACAUGGGUCACACAAGGACAGUUUGCAGCAUAAGGACAGCUAGCUGCUUAUACAAGAACAUGUGCCUGACACAGUCUCACAAGCCCAGUCCAAAACUACAAGGGCCUAACUGUAACUCCAGGAUUACAAGUCCUACCUAAUAACUAUUGACACUCGCCAGUCAGAACUCACCAGCUCUUUUGUUGCUGCCAGCACCAAUAAGCUUUCUUCCAAAACCAACGCAUAGCCUCCGCCUUUCCCAAUAAACUCUAACCUUUUCCUUUAUUCUGUGGACACUCCAGAGGCCAAUCUGGUCUGUAUAUAUGUCCCAGAUUGCAGUCCUACUUCUUGUAUAUUAUUCUCAAAUAAAACAAUUUUUACUUAA